rnacentral:rRNA from 1 species
UACAUGGGGUGCAAACGUUGCUCGGAAUUAUUGGGCGUAAAGCGCACGUAGGCGGUUCGUUAAGUCAGAUGUGAAAGCCCUCGGCUCAACCGAGGAAGUGCAUCUGAAACUGGCGAGCUAGAGUACAAUUGAAGUGGGUGGAAUACAUCAUGUAGCGGUGAAAUGCUUAGAUAUGACGUAGAACCCCGAUUGCGAAGGCAGCUCACUAAAUUGUAACUGACGCUGAGGCACGAAAGCGUGGGUAGCGAACAGG